GCAUAUCAAUAAGCGGAGGAAAAGAAACCAACAGGGAUUGCCCCAGUAACGGCGAGUGAAGCGGCAAAAGCUCAAAUUUGAAAUCCUGCGGGAAUUGUAAUUUGAAGGUUUCGUGGUCUGAGUCGGCCGCGCCCAAGUCCAUUGGAACAUGGCGCCUGGGAGGGUGAGAGCCCCGUAUGGCGCACGCCGACUCUUUGCACCGCGGCUCCGACGAGUCGAGUUGUUUGGGAAUGCAGCUCUAAGUGGGUGGUAAAUUCCAUCUAAAGCUAAAUAUUGGCGAGAGACCGAUAGCGAACAAGUACAGUGAUGGAAAGAUGAAAAGCACUUUGAAAAGAGAGUGAAACAGCACGUGAAAUUGUUGAAAGGGAAGGGCUUGCAAGCAGACACGGUUUUACCGGGCCAGCGUCGAAAAGGGGGGAGGAACAAGAACUCGAGAAUGUGGCGCGCACCUUCGGGCGCGCGUGUUAUAGCUCGUGUUGACGCCUCCAUCCCUUUUCGAGGCCUGCGAUUCUAGGACGCUGGCGUAAUGGUUGCAAGCCGCCCGUCUUGAACCAACGGACCAA
rnacentral:rRNA from 1 species